GUGUUGUGAACUCGACGAGUAGGGCGGGACACGUGUUAUCCUGUCUGAAUAUGGGGGGACCAUCCUCCAAGGCUAAAUACUCCUGAUUGACCGAUAGUGAACCAGUACCGUGAGGGAAAGGCGAAAAGAACCCCGGCGAGGGGAGUGAAAUAGAACCUGAAACCGUGUACGUACAAGCAGUGGGAGCCUUGAUUUAUCAGGGUGACUGCGUACCUUUUGUAUAAUGGGUCAGCGACUUAUAUUCUGUAGCAAGGUUAACCGUAUAGGGGAGCCGUAGGGAAACCGAGUCUUAACUGGGCGAAUGAGUUGCAGGGUAUAGACCCGAAACCCGGUGAUCUAGCCAUGGGCAGGUUGAAGGUUGGGUAACACUAACU
rnacentral:rRNA from 1 species